rnacentral:rRNA from 1 species
GAUGAACGCUGGCGGCGUGCCUAAUACAUGCAAGUCGAGCGAACGGACGAGAAGCUUGCUUCUCUGAUGUUAGCGGCGGACGGGUGAGUAACACGUGGAUAACCUACCUAUAAGACUGGGAUAAAUUCGGGAAACCGUAGCUAAUACCGGAUAAUAUUUUGAACCGCAUGGUUCAAAAGUGAAAGACGGUCUUGCUGUCACUUAUAGAUGGAUCCGCGCUGCAUUAGCUAGUUGGUAAGGUAACGGCUUACCAAGGCAACGAUGCAUAGCCGACCUGAGAGGGUGAGCGGCCACACUGGAACUGAGACACGGUCCAGACUCCUACGGGAGGCAGCAGUAGGGAAUCUUCCGCAAUGGGCGAAAGCCUGACGGAGCAACGCCGCGUGAGUGAUGAAGGUCUUCGGAUCGUAAAACUCUGUUAUUAGGGAAGAACAUAUGUGUAAGUAACUGUGCACAUCUUGACGGUACCUAAUCAGAAAGCCACGGCUAACUACGUG